UCAUCAAGUAUUUUAUUUUGAGCAUUGCUAUGAGUACUUUGUGAAUUGAAAGUUUGUAUUGUCCUCUUUAGAGAUACUUAAUUUUCUGAGUGAGUCACCGAUACUACUGCCGAUUAUUUAUUUUGCCAUAGUAUUGAGUGGGUUGAGGACUCUGUGGUGAAAUGGACAUCUAAGACAUACAAUCUCUGAAAAUGAAUUGCUGGAAGCACCCUCUGUACAUGUAAGGACCACCAAUUGUGAGUAAAGCACAGAGUAAAUUGUGUAGUGUUAACACAGUGUCAAGAUAAUUGAAAAAGACAGUGAAUUCUUGUGAGUACAGAAAAUCCGCUUUGUGUUAAUCAUCCGUGAAAGCUACAGAGUUAUAUUUUCUUGAGACAUUCUCGUCAAGUAUCAUCAAGUAUUUUAUUUUGAGAAUUGCUAUGAGUACUUAUUGUCCUCUUUAGAGAUACUUAAUUUUCUGAGUGAGUCACCGAUACUACUGCCGAUUAUUUAUUUUGGUGAGUAUCCAUUUAA